ensembl:lncRNA
GAUGUUACCUUGGGGCCGAUCUUCCUCAGCCAAACGAGGAGGAUUGGUGGCAUAUGUUAACUCAGGGCUAAUCUUUCUGAAAAAAUAAAUUAGGCAUUAUAGACAAGGUAAAAAUAUCCCAUUAUUCAAAAAUUCCAAUAUCAGGCAUAAAUCUUGUUAAAUACAAGCAUUGGAUAUGGGUUAAGGAGUGUUUAGAGUAGAAUUGUUUAUCCUAGAAAAACAAGAAGGUUAAAAAAUGUUCCAAUUACAAGUGGACAAAACAAUAAUUUUCAUACAUUCAUGGGGUGGAAUACGACAUAGGGGUGAAAUAAAUGAGCUAUAGUUCUAAAUGCUUGAAUAGAUAAAGGCUACAAAGACGUUUAAAGGCAGGUCAUGUAAGAAUACAAACAAUAUUGUUCAUUUUCGUAAAUUCCCAGCACUACUAUCACUAAACACCUUACAUGUAUAUCUAUAUGAUUAUAUGCACAUGUACAAACACUCAUAUAUAUGAAUAAAUACAUAUACAUUGAUAAUCUGAAAUAAGAGUACCUAGUACUGAAACUAUUGAGAAAGACAAGAGAAUGAUAAAAAGCUCACUUUUAGGAUUUCUUGUGGUAUGAAAUAAUGGGAGAAAUCUCAUCCAAGUGUGAGGAUACAUGGGGGCAGAGUGGCUAAAUUAUAAAAAUGCAUUCUGCCAUUUAUAUAUUUUUAAAAAAUAACAUUGAGUUUGUAAAAAUAUAUCAAUAGUAUUUUAUGUCUAAAUGGUUUGUGGAUACCUUGAUGUUUACUUUCAAAACUCAACAUGGAAUAUAUUUAUUCAUUAUUGGUGCAUGACAUUUUGAAUGAAGAACAAAGAAAAUUUUGUUCAAAUGGUUUAUUAUCUGAUAAAUUUUAUGUUGUCUCCUUAUGUUUAGCCACCAAACUGUGACAUAUAUAAAGAUGUUUUACAUUGCACCAAUAUGUGGAAUCCAGUCUGCGCAACCGAUGACAUCACUUAUCACAACAUAUGCACUUUCUGCCAGCAAAAAUUGUAAGAUCGCAAAAUUAAAUAUUGGCUCCUCCAAAAUAGUGAAAAAACCAUCACAAAAUGAUAGGACAAUCCAUAUUUCUGAUAAUGUAGGCUCAGUAUCUUUGGAAAAUUAUUCUCUCUGUAAAAGCCACAAUACCUAUCCCUUGAACCUAAAAGUUCUCAUUUCUAAAAUUACUUUUGUAUUUGACCUCUCAUCAUAACUCUAUGGGAUAUUAUGCAAAUGUAUAAAGCAAUUAACUAACUUAAUUAUUAUGACUUAUAGAUGGCAGUCUAAUGACCAAUAUAAGGUAAUUCCAAAGUCCAGAUGCGAAGUGAUAACCUCCAUGAUGUAGGUUCAAGCUAUAGGGAGCGUGACUGAGCAAAAACCUUGCUGACUACAGAACUCUGAAAUCCAUCACAAUGGGCCCAUUUCUGCUGGAAGGGACUCCUCUGCUGGUCCACUUGGGCUCCUGAACUCCAUGACAGACUCCUAACCUUCCUGAGAGAGCAGGGCAUUCUAGGACACUUCCACCUGACCUCCCUUCCUGUGUCCUUCACUCUAAAGGAGUCUGCAGUCUACAGUUUUGGCCAACCUUUGUGCCAGCCCAUGUUCUCUCACAGGUGUUUCCUCUCAUUUAAUCCUCUACUUGGCUUCUACUUCUAGAGGACCUCUAAGACAAGUUCUGGUCCUCUCCUCUCUUAGGUCGGGGCGGGUUCCAAGAACGAAUCAGGACUGAGCAAGUAGGGAGAGUCAUGGAGCCCAGGUCAGGGGAGGACGUGUGCAGGCCUGGGGAGCAGGCAGGGCCCAGCUGCUUGUGGCUGUGGAGCACAACCUCUCUUCUUCUAUGUUCAAAGCCUCCUCAUGGAGAAGCUGUUAAUGCAAUACACAGGCAAUUUUAAAUGUUCUUUUAAUAAUUUCUUUCUCUUUCUCUUGUUCUUUCCAUACAGAAAGCCCGGUAAAAAAUUGGAUUUUGAUUUUUACGGUGUAUGUUCUUAGGUCAGAGCUACACGUUCCUAUGCCUUUUCUUGCAAUGCUAUUUUCAGUGGAUUCUACAAGGAAUUAGAGUCUUCUCAGUCAGAGCUUUAAAUUUGCAGAUGACCACACAAAGCCUGCUGUGGCAUACAAGAUGAAAUGUAGGAUGUUGAAGAAUUUUUCUAAUUCUAAGAAUCUGUGAUUCAAAGAUUUUUCUCCGCUAUGUUGAAUUAUCAGUGGCAGUCGAAAAACUGUCUUAAUUGUAGUUGAUAAUAUAGAGCCUAUGUAACUUAAAAUCAUAAAUAUUUAAAUCAAUAAAAGUUAAAUAACAGUAUCUUUGUUAAAAUACCAUUUCUUUUCAUUCGUUG